rnacentral:rRNA from 1 species
AGAGCGAACGCUGGCGGCAGGCUUAACACAUGCAAGUCGAGCGGGCGUAGCAAUACGUCAGCGGCAGACGGGUGAGUAACGCGUGGGAACGUACCUUUUGGUUCGGAACAACCCAGGGAAACUUGGGCUAAUACCGGAUAAGCCCUUACGGGGAAAGAUUUAUCGCCGAAAGAUCGGCCCGCGUCUGAUUAGCUAGUUGGUGAGGUAAUGGCUCACCAAGGCGACGAUCAGUAGCUGGUCUGAGAGGAUGAUCAGCCACAUUGGGACUGAGACACGGCCCAAACUCCUACGGGAGGCAGCAGUGGGGAAUAUUGGACAAUGGGCGCAAGCCUGAUCCAGCCAUGCCGCGUGAGUGAUGAAGGCCCUAGGGUUGUAAAGCUCUUUGUGCGGGAAGAUAAUGACGGUACCGCAAGAAUAACGCCCGGCUAACUUCGUGCCAGCAGCCGC